UACGUAGGGACCAAGCGUUGUCCGGAAUCAUUGGGCGUAAAGAGCGCGUAGGCGGUCCGGUAAGUCCGCUCUGAAAGUCCGGGGCUCAACCCCGGGAGGCGGGCGGAUACUGUCGGGCUAGAGUCCGGAAGAGGCGAGUGGAAUUCCUGGUGUAGCGGUGAAAUGCGCAGAUAUCAGGAGGAACACCAAUGGCGAAGGCAGGUCUCUGGGCAUUAACUGACGCGAGGAGCGAAGCAUGGGGAGCGAACAGG
rnacentral:rRNA from 1 species